UACGGAGGGGGCUAGCGUUGUUCGGAAUUACUGGGCGUAAAGCGCGCGUAGGCGGCUUACCAAGUUGGGGGUGAAAUCCCGGAGCUCAACUCCGGAACUGCCUUCAAAACUGGUAGGCUCGAGUCCGGAAGAGGGGCGUGGAAUUCCCAGUGUAGAGGUUAAAUUCGUAGAUAUUGGGAAGAACACCGGUGGCGAAGGCGGCGCCCUGGUCCGGUACUGACGCUGAGGCGCGAAAGCGUGGGGAGCAAACAGG
rnacentral:rRNA from 1 species